rnacentral:rRNA from 1 species
AGUGAACGCUGGCGGUAGGCCUAACACAUGCAAGUCGAACGGCAGCACAGUAAGAGCUUGCUCUUACGGGUGGCGAGUGGCGGACGGGUGAGGAAUACAUCGGAAUCUACUUUUUCGUGGGGGAUAACGUAGGGAAACUUACGCUAAUACCGCAUAAGACCUACGGGUGAAAGCAGGGGAUCUUCGGACCUUGCGCGAAUGAAUGAGCCGAUGUCGGAUUAGCUAGUUGGCGGGGUAAAGGCCCACCAAGGCGACGAUCCGUAGCUGGUCUGAGAGGAUGAUCAGCCACACUGGAACUGAGACACGGUCCAGACUCCUACGGGAGGCAGCAGAGGGGAAUAUUGGACAAGGGGGGCAAGCCUGAUCCAGCCAUACCGCGUGGGUGAAGAAGGCCUUCGGGUUGUAAAGCCCUUUUGUUGGGAAAGAAAAGCAGCAGGGUAAUACCCCGCUGUUCUGACGGUACCCAAAGAAUAAGCACCGGCUAACUUCGUG